UUGCUGUUUUCUGUAAAUCAUGAUAAAAGUACUUCUUAAAAAAUAUCAAUAAAGACUCUCCUUCAGUUAUACAUUGAAAAAAAUCACUCUUUGGAGAAGUAUAAAAGAAUUGUGGAAAUCAGUUUGGAAAAUACAUCUCUUGGUGGAUUUAAUAUUAAAGUAAGAUAAGACAUAUAAUAGAUAUUGUAGUGGGUGGCCUUCACCCAUUAAGUUAGUCAACAACUGUUUAGAGGGAUACAUAAAUGACCCUGCUUUUGAGGACCUCACAGCAGAGUUGCGGGCAGGCGUAAAAUCAGCUCAUUGCAGUGAGGAGUAGUGUCCUGUACAUAUCCACACAGGCAGGGCUCUGCCAUCACACAUGGAGGAUCAUGGCUGAGGGAGAGUAUGGGGUGAGAAGGAAAGAGCAGUCUGGGAAGACAGCUCAACAGAGGUGACCCUGGAGCUGAGUGACAAAGUGUAAUAGGAACUAGCAAGGAGUGAGAGAGAAGUGUUGGCCAAGCAUGAAAGAGCACUUCAGAAGGACUUGCAGUGGAUUGGAGCAGGCAUGGAGUGCCAGAGGGGUGGGCUGGGAAAUGAAGCUGGAGAGAUUUGCAGGACCCAGGACCCGUGUGACUGGGCUAAGCAGGGUGGCUUUAAUCCGGGGGGGUGCUGGGAGUUUAUUGGGAGGAGGGUAUCAAAGAGCUUUUGGAGAGAGGUGAAAGGCUCACAUUUGCACAGGUACUAGCUCAUUCCAACAGCAGUAUGGAGGCGAGAGUCAGGGCCAGCUUCAUGGGUGUGCAACCCAUGGGGCUGCGAAGGGCCCCGAGCUCAGAAGGGCCCUGCACUUGGUUUAAUGCUCUGAUCUUGCCAUCUUGAAAUUCCUAAUAAUUUUUUAACAAGGAGCCCACAUUUGAUUUUGCACUGGGCCCCACAAAUUAUAGGUCUUUCCAAGACUAGAGGCCAGCUUUGUAUUGUAGUUGAUCAGGAGAUGGGGCAGUCUGGGCCUCUGUCUCUCCCUGUCCCAGCCUUUGUAUUUAGGGAUCUUCUUAACACACCGUCUAGGGAAGGAGCAACAAAUAAAAUGGCAAUGUGUGGCAUUGCCAGGGCCGGGGAGAUGUCCUGCAGUGUGUAAGGGGGAAAAUGAGUCCAAGGUAAAGACUUACUGGGGCCCCUUUGUCUCCUCUGACACCCUCAUUUCACCUCUGCAGGGAAAUUGGGAUCAGCUGGCACAGGAGGUGGGUGAGGAGGAAGACAGGUGUUCUGUGUAUUUGUUUUGUUUUGCUCGGAGAACAACCACAGAGGAAGACAAAAUGGUUCCCUUCCUGCUUUAAACCAUUUAGCUCCUUCCCGCCCCCUCUGUGCUCUGUCUGCUCCCACACUGUCCUGGGGCCCUGCUGCAGGGAGUUGGGGUCUCAGCUUUGUUCUGCCUGGAACACACACACACACACACACAUACACACACGUGCAUGCGUGCAGCUCUGGGCACGUGAGGGUUUGUUUUUGACACCAUGAGGGUUUCCUUCCACACAUCUCAGCGUGCACCAGCUGCUUAGCAACAAGCCGUUGGGCAGAGCACUGGGGAUUAAAUGCCUCUCUGGCUGCUUCCACCACAGGUGCCCCUCGGGAGGGGACAGGUCCACCAGAGGGACUUGUGUUGAGCUAAAGAGCAUGGGUGUGUGGCCGCCAGAAGGACACUCCAGAGACAGUACAGUCAGGACUCUGGUGCCGUGCCAGGGAGCUCAGAGGCCUGCUGGGAAUGAUGCUCCAGAAAAUAGAAUCCUGACGGAAAGCCGUGGGUGGUGGGAAAGCUGCAGGGAUGGCUGAUAACAGGUGGCAGGCAAAAUGUAAAAGUUCAUAAACAUCUGCUGCUGGAAAUUGCCUUGGUAGGAUCUGGGUACAGGUCACUAUUACGGCUGCCCUAAGAGCUUCCACACCGGUUUGUGGUUCUUGCCUGUGGAGCUUAAGGUCAAAAGUCCCCUCCCUUAGGAGUCCUGCCUUUGGUAUAGCAGCAAGGAAACACCAGGACUCUGUGAGUGGAUUUCCUAGGUUCACAUCAGCUCCGCCAUUUACUGUGUGACCUUGAGAAAAUUCCUUGAGCUCUCUGUGCUUCAGUUUCCUCAUCUAUGAGCCCUACCUCAUAAGACCGUUGUGAGAAUUCUGUUAAAACAGGUAAAAGGACUUGAAACAGUGUCUAGCACAUGGGUGUUAAUCAAUGAGUGGUCAAUUACUGCAUUUUCUGGGAUAAAAGUACUUUUUGUCAGAGAUGGUAUAAUUUGUCAUGAAGACUUCAAAAUGGACAUCCGUAAUCCUGACAGCAAGAAGAUGUAAACUACUUUUUUUCUAGUGUCUUCCAUUUUAUACACCUGGCACUGUACAAACUGCUUACAGAAAUUUGCAUUAACCACCCAUGGAAAUGGUUAUUUCACACCCAUGGAAACUGAGGCUCAGAAGCAAAAUGCCCUGCUCAGGGACAGAUGGCCACUCCAGAAGUGGAGCCGAGGUUUGAUGCAGUUACUCUAGGGCCCUCACUCAUUCCUCUAGGCCAAGCUGUCUCUCGCAUUGCUUUUCAGAGACGGAAAGAAAAAAAUACUGAUUUCUCUCAGCAAGUAGGAUUUGCUGGAGAGCUCCCCCCAAGGGUAACAUUUCAGAAAAAUUGUGUAAGGCCAGUGAGCUUACUGUGGCACUCACUGGUGUAUGGUACCUGGGAUGGGGAAAUACUAGCCAGCGUAUGGGGAAAUGGAGUAUGCUACCAUGGUAUGAGGCCUUAGACACCUGGAUGUGGAAUGGAAGCGUGGAUUCAUGCAGCUGUUCCAAGCUCCACACAUAAGCAGGAUGCCCAGGCUGCCUGACCAGUCACUGUCCCAGAAGCUCAGGGUGUUUCUGGUUACACACAAACCCCAGCUUCAUCAACCAAAUGGUCACUUGAGAUAGACUUACUUUCUGAAGAUCUUUUAUAGCAAUAACCUGUAUUUUUAGAAUUGUUGUAGUUAAAACACAUUGGAUUGCAUUGCACUGUACACACCAUCCAGGGCUGCAAGGACCCAUAUGGCAGCCACGAGCCACAAGCACUCAGAAUGUGGCUAGUGCAAACGGAGAUGUGCCAUGACUAUAGCGUACAGGCUGAUUUCAAAGACAGUCCAAAACAAUGUAAAGUAUUCAUUAAUAACUUGAAUAUUAUUACAGGUUAAAAUGAUAUCAUUUGAUGUGUUUAAAUAUGAUGGGUUAAAUAAAAUGUUAUUAGGAUUUUUUUCUCAUCUUUUCAAAUGAUGUAUGUGGCUUGCAUUUGCAGCUCACAGUACCUUUCUUUCAGACAGGGCUCCUCUUAAAGGUACUGAUAAUAGGCCUUGCAUUUGGAGAGGGCUUUACAAGUCAUAAAGCAUCUGCCUUUCUUUAUAGUAGAAUCACAGUAAGUCAGAGCUGGAAUGAGGAGCCUUAAGCCAUUUAGGUCAGUCUCCUGAUUUACAGGUAGAGAAACUGAGGUAUUGAGGGAAGCAAGGGUCUGGUGCAUUCCUAGCCCCCAGCCCCAGCCCAGCCCAUUCCAGGCCAGCUCAGGGCUGGCUGGCCUGCCCCUCCGCCCUGGGGAAGGCCCCGGGCAUUCCCUUGGGGAUGCUGGCAUCUUUAUUCAUGAGCCUGGCAGAGGGGAGCCCUGGAGCCUGUGGGAAGGCUGCUCUCUGCUUUCAUGGUAGAGAUAAAUAAGGAGACCUGACAGGAGAGGCUGUCAGCAGCUAGGGUGGAGGAGGAGGCUCCCAGGCUCACACCAGCUGGGUCUCCUGGGGCUGCUCAGUGCCCCCUCCAGGGGCCGGGCCCACCCUCCCCCUCAGCAGGUUCCCACAGGCAGGCUCAGCAGACCCCAGACGUCUCCCCUCACUGCCUUUGGCUUCUGUUUUCCAAGGCAUCUCCCUGGGCUGCCCCUCAGUGCCCCACAAAUGCACGUGUGCCUGCUUCUCCCGCGGCCUUUGGAACCCUGAUCCAGCCUUUUCCAUGGCCUCCCCAGGCCUGCUGGGCUUCUUCCUUCACAUCCCAGAUGCCUGGAGUCUGUGUUCUUGCUUCUUGAAGUGUGGUCAGUGGAACAGGGGCUCCUGCACCAGGAGCAGGUGUGAGAUAUGCAGAUCUUGCGGCCCCAUCCCAAAGCUGCUGAAUCAGAAUCUGCAUUUUAACAAGACCUCAGGAGGUCUGAGCUCUGGCUCACACCAGAGAUUGCAGGACACGGGGCAGGUUAACACUGUACCAGCUACAGUGACUGGCACGUCAGUGGCUGCUCUAAGCGCAGAGGGAAUGUGCUUUCUCAGGUCCUUACAGUCGAUGCAGCACCUUCAAGGGUGUUUUUGCACAUAACAACCCCUCUGCCCUGGACGAUGCUGAAUGGUUAAGUCAAGAACCUUUGGUUCUGGCCGAAGCCUACAACCCCUAAGCCACUUUGCAGCAGGAAUCAUGUCUGACUCCUAAUGCGUGAAUCCUAAGCAACUUUGCACAACUUUGCAUCAGCAGUCAGAACUGCUGACCUCACCACCAGGCUCAUGCUGCGUCUGCCUGCCUAGAGUAGAGGCACGGGUCUACUGGUGGUAUGUGCUGAGGGGUACUGGGAUCUUGCCUUUUUUGGUGUCUGUGUUCCUGUUGUACUGAGAUCAGAGAUGUGUAGGUUCGUGGCUAAGUGUAUAACCUCUAGGGCCAAACAAAAUUGCACCACUAACAGGCUGUGAUCUGGGACAAGUUCACGUAAUAUCCAUGUGCCCCUGUUUACUCAUCUGUGUCAUGGGGUGAGCAGGGUGCCUACGUAGGAGGAUUGUUAGAAGAUUACAUGGUGAAGUAUUGGCAGUGGCUUUAAACCACACGUGGCACACGUCCUAUAAAAGUUUAAUUAAACCAGCAUCUUCUGUCAAGAAUAAUGUUGACUGUGUGCCGGUUUAGACUCAUAGGCGCUGACAGAACCCCAGGGCUCAUAGAAACCCCUCUCUCUAAUCCAGCACAAGAGGAAACAGGUCGGAUUGCCAAGUCCUCUCCCAGCAUUAGACAGCCAGUAAAUGGCACGAGUGGAACUUGGGCUCUGACCCUUGUCUGCUCUGGGGUCAUGCCCUGUGGGACUUGAUUACAAAGCAGAGUGGCUCCAGGUCUGGCGCCACUGUCCUCUGUCCUCGUUAGGGUGCAGGGACUCUAACUGCUGACUCCUCCUGGCCAGCCCUCCAGGGACUUCCUCUGUGCUCUGAGAUCUAAUCUCUAAACUGGUCCUUCUAGACCACGGAGUCGAGAAUCGGACUGCAUUUGCUGGCAUCCCUCCCUAAGGAGGGGAAAAUCAAGGAGACUGAGUUUGGGAGGAGACAGUAGAAACAGGCUCCUCCCCAGGGCACUAUGUGGAAGGCUGGCUCACUGCUCACACUGAUGUCUGCAGGGAGGAGAAGAAAUGGUUCCAGUCUCUGGGUUGCAGUAAACAGGACUCCCUCCUGGAAGGAGUCCUCCCUCAGGAGCUCAGCAAGAUCUGAAAAUAGGUGGCUGGGAGCUUUCUGCAGGGAAUCAUGGCAACCAUCUGGUCUGUCCAUUCUGCCAAGGGGCUGGUGGGGUGGUGGGAUAGAUUUGCUGCCCUGGAGGGGCAGCAGCCUCUCAGAAUUUCUCAUGUUCCAAAAUUCCUUGCCUCAACCAGAUUACAGAUCUUGAGCAAAUUUGGACUCUGACUGACCUGGUGUUUGUAUGGACUUGACGGUAAUUAAAGGGAAACACAGAUACACCAAGAUGUGUCCAACAAAUCCCGCAAGGCUGGGUCAAAGGCGCCAUCCCUGGCUGGCCGGGAGCUCCCCUGGCUGCCUGGCAUGGCUCAUAAACUUUGGGCAUGCCUGUGUCUGCCUCCUUAAGCAGGCUGAGAUCCUGGGCCACAGUUUAUGCUUCUCUGUAUCCUUCCCAGCACCUAGCCCAGCACCUGGCACAUAGUGGGUACACAUAGUAGGUGAUUAUUGACUGAUCACUCAGUAUAUUUUUCCAUGAAAGAAUAAAGAAAAUCAAUUUCUUUACAUGUA